UGGGGAAUAUUGCACAAUGGGGGAAACCCUGAUGCAGCGACGCCGCGUGAGCGAAGAAGUAUUUCGGUAUGUAAAGCUCUAUCAGCAGGGAAGAAAAUGACGGUACCUGACUAAGAAGCCCCGGCAAAUUUACGGCC
rnacentral:rRNA from 1 species